GGGUGAGAAUCCGUCUUUGGUCUAAGUAGUUGUCUAUUGUGAUAUGUCUCUCAAAGAGUCAGGUUGUUUGGGAAUGCAGCCUAAAUUGGGCGGUAAAUCUCACCUAAAGCUAAAUAUUUGCGAGAGACCGAUAGCGAACAAGUACCGUGAGGGAAAGAUGAAAAGAACUUUGAAAAGAGAGUUAAACAGUAUGUGAAAUUGUUAAAAGGGAACCGUUUGGAGCCAGAUUGGCUUGAUUGUAAUCAACCUAGAAUUCGUUUUGGGUGCACUUGCAGUCUACGUCUGCCAACGACAGUUUGAUUUGGAGGAAAAAAUUAAUAGGAAUGUGGCCUUUCGAGGUGUUAUAGCCUAUUAUCAUACUCUGGAUUGGACUGAGGAACGCAGCGAAUGCCUUUAGGCAAGAUUGCUGGGCGCUUUCGCUAAUAAAUGUUAGAAUUUCUGCUUCGGGUGGUGCUAAUGUUUAAAGGAGGAACCCGUUUAGUAUAUUUUUUAUUCGCUUAGGUUGUUGGCUUAAUGACUCUAAAUGACCCGUCUUGAAACACGGACCAAGGAGUCCACCAUAAGUGCAAGUAUUUGGGUGCCAAACCCAUAUGCGUAAGGAAACUGAUUGAUACGAAAUCGCGAGAUGGCAGUAUCACCCGGCGCUGACGUUUUAUACUGAAUUGACCGAGGUAAAGCACUUAUGAUGGGACCCGAAAGAUGGUGAACUAUGCCUGAAUAGGGUGAAGCCAGAGGAAACUCUGGUGGAGGCUCGUAGCGAUUCUGACGUGCAAAUCGAUCGUCAAAUUUGGGUAUAGGGGCGAAAGACUAAUCUGA
rnacentral:rRNA from 1 species